GCCCCUUUGGUGUAGUGGUUUAUCACAUGGUACUUGUAAUACUAAGGUCCCCGGUUCAAACCCGGGAGGGGGCU
rnacentral:tRNA from 1 species